ACUGUAUUUUUUAAUUCAAAAAACUUAAAAACAUGGUGAAGAUUACAGCCAAGAUAGUAUUUGUUAUGAUCUUUCUCACUUUGGUAGCCACUAACGGGUUUGGUCUUCAAAAAACACCAACAAACAUGGAGCCUCAAAAACAUUGGAUUGGUGGUUGCAAUUGGCCUGGUGGUUGCAAUUAUUUUGCAAAAACUUGUGCUCCAUUUAUUCCUGUGUGUGUGGAUGGUGUUUGUAGAUGUAAAAGGACAGGCAAUAAUAUUGAAAAAACAAAACAAGAACGCCAUAAUCGCAUAGAUGGUGAAAAACAAAAUUAAUAGGUACAUAUACCAUUAUAAAUAAUGUAAUAUUAGUCAGCAUAUAUUAGAUGAGUAUGUGUGGCUUAUGUGAUUUAUGGAUGAUAUAAAAUAAAAUAUUUCAAUAAUAAAAAUAUUGAAAUUUAAUAA